rnacentral:siRNA from 1 species
UGUACCAAUUGCUCCACCACAGAG